GGUGUAGGUGGUGGAAUUGGUAGACACACCGGAUUGUGGUUCCGGUGUCCAGUAAUGGCAAUUGCGAGUUCAAGUCUCGUCUUGCACCC
rnacentral:tRNA from 1 species